rnacentral:rRNA from 1 species
GUGUCAGCCGCCGCGGUAAUACGAAGGGUGCAAACGUUAUUCGGAAUCACUGGGCGUAAAGGGUGCGUAGACGGUAUGUUAAGUUCGUCGUUAAAGGCUCCGGCCUAACCGGAGUACCGCGAUGAAAACUGGCGUGCUAGAGGGUGAGAGAGAGAAGUGGAAUUCCUGGAGUAGCGGUAAAAUGCGUGGAUCUCAGGAGGAACACCAAUGGCGAAGGCAGCUUCUUGGCUCAUUCCUGACGUUGAGGCACGAAAGCGUGGGGAGCAAACAGGAUUAGAAACCCCUGUAGUCC